UACGUAGGGUGCGAGCGUUGUCCGGAAUUAUUGGGCGUAAAGGGCUCGUAGGCGGUCUGUCGCGUCGGGAGUGAAAACUCAGGGCUUAACCCUGAGCCUGCUUCCGAUACGGGCAGACUAUAGGUAUGCAGGGGAGAACGGAAUUCCUGGUGUAGCGGUGAAAUGCGCAGAUAUCAGGAGGAACACCGGUGGCGAAGGCGGUUCUCUGGGCAUUACCUGACGCUGAGGAGCGAAAGCGUGGGGAGCGAACAGG
rnacentral:rRNA from 1 species